AAUUUUGUAGUUUAUAUAAAACAACAAAUUGCAAAUUUGUAAAAAUUAACAAGUCAAAAUUA
rnacentral:tRNA from 1 species